rnacentral:rRNA from 1 species
UACGUAGGGGGCUAGCGUUGUCCGGAAUCAUUGGGCGUAAAGCGCGCGUAGGCGGCUAGAUAAGUCCGGUGUGAAAGUCACAGGCUCAACCUGUGAAUGCCGCUGGAAACUGUCUGGCUAGAGUCCGGAAGGGGCGAGUGGAAUUCCUGGUGUAGCGGUGGAAUGCGCAGAUAUCAGGAGGAACACCGAUGGCGAAGGCAGCUCGCUGGGACGGUACUGACGCUGAGGCGCGAAAGCGUGGGGAGCGAACAGG